rnacentral:rRNA from 1 species
AUCCUGGCUCAGGACGAACGCUGGCGGCGUGCCUAAUACAUGCAAGUCGAGCGGACAGAUGGGAGCUUGCUCCCUGAUGUYAGCGGCGGACGGGUGAGUAACACGUGGGUAACCUGCCUGUAAGACUGGGAUAACUCCGGGAAACCGGGGCUAAUACCGGAUGCUUGAUUGAACCGCAUGGYUCAAUUAUAAAAGGUGGCUUUUAGCUACCACUUACAGAUGGACCCGCGGCGCAUUAGCUAGUUGGUGAGGUAACGGCUCACCAAGGCRACGAUGCGUAGCCGACCUGAGAGGGUGAUCGGCCACACUGGGACUGAGACACGGCCCAGACUCCUACGGGAGGCAGCAGUAGGGAAUCUUCCGCAAUGGACGAAAGUCUGACGGAGCAACGCCGCGUGAGUGAUGAAGGUUUUCGGAUCGUAAAACUCUGUUGUUAGGGAAGAACAAGUACCGUUCGAAUAGGGCGGUAC